AUACGUAGGGGGCGAGCGUUGUCCGGAAUGAUUGGGCGUAAAGGGCGCGUAGGCGGCGCGGUAAGUCUGGAGUGAAAGUCCUGCUUUCAAGGUGGGAAUUGCUUUGGAUACUGCCGCGCCUGAGUGCAGGAGAGGUUAUCGGAAUUCCCGGUGUAGCGGUGAAAUGCGUAGAGAUCGGGAGGAACACCAGUGGCGAAGGCGGGUAACUGGACUGCAACUGACGCUGAGGCGCGAAAGUGUGGGGAGCAAACAGGAUUAGAUACCCUGGUAGUCCACACUGUAAACGAUGAAUGCUAGGUGUAAGAGGUAUCGACCCCUUUUGCGCCGGAGUCAACACAAUAAGCAUUCCGCCUGGGGAGUACGGCCGCAAGGUUGAAACUCAAAUGAAUUGACGGGG
rnacentral:rRNA from 1 species